rnacentral:tRNA from 3 species
GGAGCUUUAGCUCAGUUGGUUAGAGCAAUCGGCUCAUAACCGAUCGGUCCCGGGUUCAAGUCCCUGAAGCUCCA